rnacentral:rRNA from 1 species
GACGAACGCUGGCGGCGUGCCUAAUACAUGCAAGUCGAACGAACGGACCCGACUUUUGCUUCGUUCACGUUAGCCGCACGCGUGAGUGUCACGCGUGUAUCACCUACUUGUCUUACGGGGAACAUCUGGGAACACGGGCUAUUAUACGGGAUAAUCUCUUGCACCGUAUGGUGCGAUAGUGAGUGACGGUCUUGCUGGCUGUACUAGCUGCAUCCCAGCUGCAUUAGGUAGUUGUUAGGUUCACGGCCUUCCAAGGCAACGAUGCAUAGCCGACCUGAGAGAGUGAUCGGCCACACUGGAACUGAGACACGGUCCAGACUCCUACGGGAGGCAGCAGUAGGGAAUCGGCCGCAAUGGGCGAAAGCCUGACGGAGCAACGCGGAGUGAGUGAUGGAGGUCUUCGGAGCGUGAAACUCUGUUAUGAGGGAAGAACAUAUGUGUAAGGAACUGUGCACAGCUUGACGGUACCUAAUCAGAAAGCCACGGCUAACUACGUG